AUUGAACGCUGGCGGCAUGCUUUACACAUGCAAGUCGAGCGGAUGAAGAGAGCUUGCUCUCUGAUUUAGCGGCGGACGGGUGAGUAAUGCCUAGGAAUCUGCCUGGUAGUGGGGGAUAACGUUCCGAAAGGAACGCUAAUACCGCAUACGUCCUACGGGAGAAAGCAGGGGACCUUCGGGCCUUGCGCUAUCAGAUGAGCCUAGGUCGGAUUAGCUAGUUGGUGAGGUAAUGGCUCACCAAGGCUACGAUCCGUAACUGGUCUGAGAGGAUGAUCAGUCACACUGGAACUGAGACACGGUCCAGACUCCUACGGGAGGCAGCAGUGGGGAAUAUUGGACAAUGGGCGAAAGCCUGAUCCAGCCAUGCCGCGUGUGUGAAGAAGGUCUUCGGAUUGUAAAGCACUUUAAGUUGGGAGGAGGGGCAGUAAGUUAAUACCUUGCUGUUUUGACGUUACCGACAGAAUAAGCACCGGCUAACUCUGUGCCAGCCGCCGCCAGUAAUAC
rnacentral:rRNA from 1 species